ACUUGAAGUCUUGAAUGUAAUAUAUCAUAACAAAAUACAACUUUUAACAACGGAUCUCUUGGCUCUCGCAUCGAUGAAGAACGCAGCGAAAUGCGAUAAGUAAUGUGAACUGCAGAAUUCAGUGAAUCAUCGAAUCUUUGAACGCACCUUGCGCCCUCUGGUAUUCCGGAGGGCAUGCCUGUUUGAGUGUCAUGAACACCUCACCCCCUCGGGUUUCCGAUCGGGUGGAUUUGGGUGCUGCCAGUUACAUGGCUCGCCUUAAAAGCAUUAGCGGUUGUUGACGUAAUAAGUUUCGUCUUGUCGACCGCUCCUAAUCUCCUUCGGGAUGUCUCUAGGGACACUUCAUGAUCUGACCUCAAAUCAGGUAGGACUACCCGCUGAACUUAAGCAUAUCAAUAAGCGGAGGAA
rnacentral:rRNA from 1 species